UGCUUUUUUACCUGAAAAAUAAGGAGAUUGGCUAUGUUCCUGGAUUUAAAAGUAUUCUGUGGAGCUCCAGGAUUCUCGGAGGUGCCUCACUGUCCACUUUGGAGGCUGAAUGUCAGGGCUGCUAAGUGAAUGCCCUCCGCUGAGCUUUCUGCUAACCCAGAUUUUCAGCUCUUAUCAGUUGUAUGUAUUAAAUGUGGCUAAAAAUAUUUGAAAAACACUGAGUUAAGAUUAAAAAUAAAAUAAAUUCAAAAUUCCUGAAAUGGUAUUUCCUUGGAGAUAAAGCACUUUGUCUCUUAAUCUUUUUACUACGUAGCACAUGCCAGGCACUCCGUAUAUAUUUAUUAUAUGAACACAGUAACUGUAAUGUACAAGUGGGAAGGAAAUGCAAAAACAAAAGGUAUCAUAUUUUUGUUUGAUAAACGUGGGUGUCAAUUCUCUGUAGCUUUUGAUAACCAGUAGUGAAGAGCAAUGUGGACUGUUUGAUGCGCAACAGAUAAUUUUAUGGGUUUGUGUACAUAAUGAGAAAUUCAUUCUAAGAACACAAGCUGUAUUAUUAUAAAGUAUAGGAAACCUAGACAGAAAAACUGGGAAGUUUGGAACAUACUAGAAAAGUAACUCAGUUUAAUUAGAAAAUACAAUCUAAAGAAUGAAGCUAGUUUGCAGUUUCUUUCAUAUAGGAUUGAAUACUCUUUUCCUUUAUGCAGUUUAUAAAUACACAAAACAUUUUCUUUGCAUGAAAAUAUAUAUUUUAUGAUUUCUUCUAAACAGAGAGAAGGUUUACAAUUUAGCUUCUCCAAUAAAUAAUGUUUUGUUUGUGUGUUGCAAAAACAAAAAAGAAGUAAGAAUAACUCUAGCAGAUGCUUAAAGGUUUAAGAUUAAAAACAUAGGAAAAUGUGAUUCAUGGCCAUUGUUAUAUGGACCUGAAUGAAUACUCCCAAAUCACAGCUAGAAAAAUUUUAGAGCAAACUGACUUAACUUAGGGUAAAUCUCUAACUGGAAUGGAAUAGAUGAACAAGAAAAAAAUAUAGUUGACAAGACUCCACUAAGGAAAACAACAUUUAAGUGAAUAAUGAGAUAUUCUACUGCCUAGAGGAAUUACCCAGCCUAUGGUAAGGUGAAGUCAACUUCAAUUGGCAAGAGGUUUGUUUUAAAAGUGAAAUAAGAAAAAAGUCUUGGCUUACAAAUGAUAUGGGAAGAUAUGUUAUCAACAGGGGAAAAUUUAGAAAAUAGCAGCCAACUUAUUUCUGCAACACAACUGAAAGGAGGAAGAAAGAAAGCAAUAUAAUGUACUCUGGUUAAGCAGUUACUUUGCUUUAUCCUUACUAACAGGGCUUAUUAAGAUGGUUCUGGAAAUUGAAUGAAUGUAAAAAUGAAUCAUGA
rnacentral:lncRNA from 1 species